GUGGGGAGGAAGGCGAUCUCCGCGUCCUACUCCUCCGCCAUCUUCCCGGAAGCCUCCUAACAUUUCUUGUAAAGUUGUUUUAGUGGUACUGAAGUCUUCUAGUUUUUGCUUAUCUGUAAAGCUCUUUAUCUCUCCCUCAAAUCUGAAGGAUAGUCUUGCCAGAUAGAAUAUUCUUGGUUUAAAGUUUUUUUUUUUUCCAUCAGUUCUCUCCCUUCUGACCUACAGGGUUUCUGCUGAAAAGUCAGCUCAUAGUCUUAUGGGAGGUCCCUUGUAUGUAUCUAGCUGUUUUUCUCUUGCUGCUUUUAAUAUUCUAUCUUUAAUUUUUUGCCAUUUUAAUUAUAAUGUGUCUUGGUGUGGACCUCUUUGAGUUCAUAUUCUUUGAGACUCGCUGUUUCCUGGAACUGAAUGUCUGUUUCUUUUCCCAGGUUAGUGAAGCUUUUAGCUAUUAUUUCUUCAAAUAAGUUCUCUGCCCCUUUCUCUUCUCCUUCUGGAACCCCUAUAAUGUGAAUGUUAGUGCACUUGACGUUGUCUCAGAGGUUCUUAAACUUUCUCAUUUUUUUAAAUUCUUUUUCUUUUCAGGUUUGGUAUUUCCACUACUCUGUCUUCCAGUUCACUGACUGUUCCUCUGUAUUUAAUCUGAUGAUUCCUUCUAGUGUAUUUUUUAUUUUUAUUGUAUUCUUCACCUCUGUUUAUUUUUCUCUACAGUUUCUGUUAAACUUCUCACUGUGUUCAUCUAUUCUUCUCCUGAGUUUGUUGAGCAUCUUAUGAUCAUUAUCUUGAAUUCUUUAUGGGUUAAAUUGCUCAUUUCCACUUUGGUUUGUUCUUCUGGGGUUUUGUCUUUUUUCUUCAUUUGGAACAUAUUCCUCUGUCUCUUCAUUUUGCCUAAUUCUCUGUUUAUUUCUAUGUAACUAGUAGGUCACUUAGCUUUUAUGAUCUUGGAGAAGUGGCCUUCUGUCAGAGACAUUUAAUGGGGCCCAGCAGCACCCUCCCCUCUGCUCACUAGUGCUAUAUGUUCUGGGGGUGUCCUCUUUGUGGGCUGUGUGGGCCCUUCUGUUGUGGUGGGGCUGACUACUUUGGGUGUGUGGUAGGUGGGGCUGGCCCCUGGCUCAGUUGGCUGCUGGGCCUUGCCUUGUGUGGUGGCUGCUGGCUCACUGGUUGUUGUGGCUGAGUCUACGAUGGCAAGCUGCAUGUUCCAGGGGGUCCUGGCGCUGGUGCUGGCUUCAGGGGCUGGGGGUACCUGGUGGUGGUGGUGGUCCAAUACCAGGUGUGCUGUUAAGCCCCCUGCACUAAUAGACUAGAGAGAGUACUCCAGAAUGGUGCUUACCAGCACCAUUAGUGUCCUAAUGGUAGAAUGAGCUCCCCAAAAUGGCGCCCCCAGUGUUUAUGUCUGUGUGGGGAGUCCCAGUUCCCUCCUACCUCUCAGGGAGUCUCUCCAGGAUCAGCAAGUUUGUCUGACCGAGAUGUCUUUCAGAUUACUGCUUCUUCAUUGGGACUUGGAGUGAUGGAGAUUUUGUGUGUACCCUUUAAGAGUGGAGCCCACUUGUCUCUCACAUAUGCAAACCCCACUGGCCUUCAAACCCAGACAUUCUAGGGGAUCGUCUUACAGGUGCAGGACCCCUGGGCUGGGGAGCCCAAUGUGGGGCUUGGACCCCUUGCUCCUUGGGGAGAACCUCUGUAAUUGAGAUUAUCUUUCCAUUUGUGGGUCAUCUACCCAGGGGUGUGGGUCUUGACCCUACUGUGUCUCCGACCCCCUUAGCCGUCUCAUUGUGGUCCUUCGUUAUAUCUUUAGUUGUGGAAAAUCUUUCUGCCAGUUGUUCUCAUAGAUGGUUGCUCUGUAAAGAGUUGUAAUUUUCCUGAGCCUGUGACAGGAGGUGAGCUCAGUGUCUUCCUAUUCCACCAUCUUGGCCACACCUCUGUGGAUAGUUAAUGGUUAAUGAAACAAUAUAUACACUUGGUUUAAAUUUAUAUUGAGCUUUGUGAUGGAUUUUAUGAAAUAUUGAAACUGUUUUUAGAAUAAGAGGCAACAAGUAAAACGCCUUGUGUUACCUGACAUACAUCAAGUGCCACGUACUGGAUAGUGUUUUAAGUACUUUAAAUACACUGACUUUUAAAAUCAGUACAACAAUGUGAUGAAGUUGGUAAUGUGAUCAUCCCAGUCUUAUAUAUGGGGAAAGUUAAGUAACAGAGAGGUUAAGUAACUUGCCCAUGGAUUACCCAGCUAGUAAGUGGCAGAACUAGUAUUUCUCCAAAGCUCAUGCUCUUAACCACUCAACUGUCUCUAUAUUGCUAUAUUGGUAAUGACUAUUAUGGGUCAGACCUUGAAUUCUCCUUUGAAGGGUUCAUAGUAUAAAUAUCAGAGGCAUGUAAACACAUAAUCAUAAUUUGAUAGGGAAAGGCAUAAGGGAAUAAAGGUAAAAUUUCCUUAACUUGGUUCUUCUGUCUUUAUGUUUUUUGUUUUGUUUUGCUUUUAAGUGAGACUGUAUUCCAGCUACAUCAGUGGUUCUCAGCUGGAGGCAGUUUAUCCCAUAGAAGACAUUUGGCAAUGACUGGAAACAUUCUUGGUUGUCACAACUUGGCAGAGGGGAAGAAUGCAACUGGCAGCUAGUGGGUAGGUCAACACAUCAUAUCCUAGACAGAGGGAACAUGAAGGAAGCACACGAGCAUUUGCUGCUAGAAGGUAUUUUUGUUGUUUGGGCUCCUCAGGAGAACCAACCCCCUCAACAAUUGGCAUGGAAGAGAUCACGGGUACCUUGUCGGAACAGAUGCCUCCAGCAUCCAGUCACUUUAUUUGCCGUGGUGCUCAUCACACUGAACUGUGAGAGUGUGCUCAUCACACAUUAGCCUGUAUGAAGGGCCCCAGAUUAAAUCAGUGUGUCUGCCACAAGGAUCUUGGGACAUUCAGACCAGCAGUCCUCAUCAGAGCUCAUCAUCUUCUGAUAUGGAGUCUAGAUAAUCUGUGUCAAC